rnacentral:rRNA from 1 species
CCAGGCCUUGACAUGCAGAGAACUUUCCAGAGAUGGAUUGGUUGCCUUUCGGGAACGUCUGACACAGGUGCUGCAUGGCUGUCGUCAGCUCGUGUCGCGAGAUGUUGGGUUAAGUCCGUAACGAGCGCAACCCUUGUCCUUAGUUUACCAGCACGUUAUGGUGGGCACUCUAAGGAGACUGCCGGUGACAAACCGGAGGAAGUGGGGAUGACGUCAAGUCAUCAUGGCCCUUACGGCCUGGGCUACACACGUGCUACAAUGGUCGGUACAAAGGGUUGCCAAGCCGCGAGGUGGAGCUAAUCCCAUAAAACCGAUCGUAGUCCGGAUCGCAGUCUGCAACUCGACUGCGUGAAGUCGGAAUCGCUAGUAAUCGUGAAUCAGAAUGUCACGGUGAAUACGUUCCCGGGCCUU